AUGAACGCUGGCGGCAUGCCUAAUACAUGCAAGUCGAACGAAGUUUCGAGGAAGCUUGCUUCCAAAGAGACUUAGUGGCGAACGGGUGAGUAACACGUAGGUAACCUGCCCAUGUGUCCGGGAUAACUGCUGGAAACGGUAGCUAAAACCGGAUAGGUAUACGGAGCGCAUGCUCUGUAUAUUAAAGCGCCCAUCAAGGCGUGAACAUGGAUGGACCUGCGGCGCAUUAGCUAGUUGGUGAGGUAACGGCCCACCAAGGCGAUGAUGCGUAGCCGGCCUGAGAGGGUAAACGGCCACAUUGGGACUGAGACACGGCCCAAACUCCUACGGGAGGCAGCAGUAGGGAAUUUUCGUCAAUGGGGGAAACCCUGAACGAGCAAUGCCGCGUGAGUGAAGAAGGUCUUCGGAUCGUAAAGCUCUGUUGUAAGUGAAGAACGGCUCAUAGAGGAAAUGCUAUGGGAGUGACGGUAGCUUACCAGAAAGCCACGGCUAACUACGUGCCAGCAGCCGCGGUAAUACGUAGGUGGCAAGCGUUAUCCGGAAUCAUUGGGCGUAAAGGGUGCGUAGGUGGCGUACUAAGUCUGUAGUAAAAGGCAAUGGCUCAACCAUUGUAAGCUAUGGAAACUGGUAUGCUGGAGUGCAGAAGAGGGCGAUGGAAUUCCAUGUGUAGCGGUAAAAUGCGUAGAUAUAUGGAGGAACACCAGUGGCGAAGGCGGUCGCCUGGUCUGUAACUGACACUGAGGCACGAAAGCGUGGGGAGCAAAUAGGAUUAGAUACCCUAGUAGUCCACGCCGUAAACGAUGAGAACUAAGUGUUGGAGGAAUUCAGUGCUGCAGUUAACGCAAUAAGUUCUCCGCCUGGGGAGUAUGCACGCAAGUGUGAAACUCAAAGGAAUUGACGGGGGCCCGCACAAGCGGUGGAGUAUGUGGUUUAAUUCGAAGCAACGCGAAGAACCUUACCAGGUCUUGACAUCGCAUGCCAUCUGUAGAAGUACAGAGUUCCCUUCGGGGACAUGCAGACAGGUGGUGCAUGGUUGUCGUCAGCUCGUGUCGUGAGAUGUUGGGUUAAGUCCCGCAACGAGCGCAACCCUUGUCGCAUGUUACCAGCAUCAAGUUGGGGACUCAUGCGAGACUGCCGGUGACAAACCGGAGGAAGGUGGGGAUGACGUCAAAUCAUCAUGCCCCUUAUGGCCUGGGCUACACACGUACUACAAUGGCGACCACAAAGAGCAGCGACUUGGUGACAAGAAGCGAAUCUCAUAAAGGUCGUCUCAGUUCGGAUUGAAGUCUGCAACUCGACUUCAUGAAGUCGGAAUCGCUAGUAAUCGCAGAUCAGCAUGCUGCGGUGAAUACGUUCUCGGGCCUUGUACACACCGCCCGUCAAACCAUGGGAGUCAGUAAUACCCGAAGCCGGUGGCAUAACCGUAAGGAGUGAGCCGUCGAAGGUAGGACCGAUGACUGGGGUU
rnacentral:rRNA from 1 species